rnacentral:tRNA from 1 species
CGUGGGCUAGUGGUUGGGGCGACAGAUUAGAAAUUUGUUGGACUUUCUCCGCAGGUUCGAGUCCUGUCGGU